rnacentral:rRNA from 1 species
UACGUAGGGGGCAAGCGUUGUCCGGAUUUAUUGGGCGUAAAGAGCUCGUAGGCGGUUUGGUAAGUCGGGUGUGAAACCUCCAGGCUCAACCUGGAGAGGCCACCUGAUACUGCUGUGACUCGAGUCCGGUAGGGGAGCGUGGAAUUCCUGGUGUAGCGGUGAAAUGCGCAGAUAUCAGGAGGAACACCAGCGGCGAAGGCGGCGCUCUGGGCCGGAACUGACGCUGAGGAGCGAAAGCGUGGGUAGCAAACAGG